rnacentral:rRNA from 1 species
UACAGGGGGGGCAAGCGUUGUUCGGAAUUACUGGGCGUAAAGGGUUCGUAGGUGGCUUGCUAAGUCAGACGUGAAAUCCCUCAGCUUAACUGGGGAACUGCGUCUGAGACUGGUGAGCUUGAGGGUAGGAGAGGAAUGCGGAAUUCCAGGUGUAGCGGUGAAAUGCGUAGAUAUCUGGAGGAACACCGGUGGCGAAGGCGGCAUUCUGGACUACAUCUGACACUGAAGAACGAAAGCCAGGGGAGCAAACGGG